rnacentral:rRNA from 1 species
AUUGAACGCUGGCGGCAGGCCUAACACAUGCAAGUCGAACGAGUGGCGGACGGGUGAGUAAUGUCUGGGACACUGCGCGAUGGAGGGGGAAAACUACUGGAAACGGUAUCUAAUCCCGCAUACCAUCAGAUGUGCCCAGAUGGGAUUAGCGAGUAGGUGGGGUAAUGGCUCCCCUAGGCGACGCUCCCUAGCUGGUCUGAGAGGAUGACCAGCCACACUGGAACGGAGACACGGUCCAGACUCCUACGGGAGGCAGCAGUGGGGAAUAUUGCACAAUGGGCGCAAGCCUGAUGCAGCCAUGCCGCGGGUGUGAAGAAGGCCUUCGGGUUGUAAAGCACUUUCAGCGAGGAGGCGUUACUCGCAGAAGAAGCACCGGCUAACUCCGUGCCAGCCGCCGCGGUAAUAC